rnacentral:rRNA from 1 species
UUUAUGGAGAGUUUGAUCCUGGCUCAGGACGAACGCUGGCGGCGUGCCUAAUACAUGCAAGUCGAGCGAACUGAUGAGAAGCUUGCUUCUCUGAUGUUAGCGGCGGACGGGUGAGUAACACGUGGGCAACCUGCCCUAUAGUUGGGGAUAACUCCGGGAAACCGGGGCUAAUACCGAAUGAUUCAUUUCAUCUCCUGAUGAAAUGCUGAAAGA